AAGAGAGCAGUGAUUAUAAACCACAAGAAUCAAAAAAUUCUGAUCUGCUCAAUUUCUGGGCAUGAUAGACUCAUUAUACACCCAUAGAAUAUGAGCUCUC